rnacentral:rRNA from 1 species
CGAAAGGAACGCUAAUACCGCAUACGUCCUACGGGAGAAAGCAGGGGACCUUCGGGCCUUGCGCUAUCAGAUGAGCCUAGGUGGAUUAGCUAGUUGGUGAGGUAAUGGCUCACCAAGGCGACGAUCCGUAACUGGUCUGAGAGGAUGAUCAGUCACACUGGAACUGAGACACGGUCCAGACUCCUACGGGAGGCAGCAGCC